GGCCAAGGCCCGCGCAAUCGGAGCAUGCCCAACCCCGCCAGGGCCGGAAGGCAGCAACGGUCAGCGUUGCGAUGAUGUGCCGCGGGGACCCUUGGCCAAU
rnacentral:SRP_RNA from 1 species